rnacentral:rRNA from 1 species
AACGAACGCUGGCGGCAGGCUUAACACAUGCAAGUCGAACGCCCCGCAAGGGGAGUGGCAGACGGGUGAGUAACGCGUGGGAACAUACCCUUUCCUGCGGAAUAGCUCCGGGAAACUGGAAUUAAUACCGCAUACGCCCUACGGGGGAAAGAUUUAUCGGGGAAGGAUUGGCCCGCGUUGGAUUAGCUAGUUGGUGGGGUAAAGGCCUACCAAGGCGACGAUCCAUAGCUGGUCUGAGAGGAUGAUCAGCCACAUUGGGACUGAGACACGGCCCAAACUCCUACGGGAGGCAGCAGUGGGGAAUAUUGGACAAUGGGCGCAAGCCUGAUCCAGCCAUGCCGCGUGAGUGAUGAAGGCCUUAGGGUUGUAAAGCUCUUUCACCGGAGAAGAUAAUGACGGUAUCCGGAGAAGAAGCCCCGGCUAACUUCGUGCCAGCAGCCGCGGUAAUACGAAGGGGGCUAGCGUUGUUCGGAAUUACUGGGCGUAAAGCGCACGUAGGCGGAUAUUUAAGUCAGGGGUGAAAUCCCAGAGCUCAACUCUGGAACUGC